ensembl:lincRNA Gm6639 predicted gene 6639
AGAUCAUAUGAGCUUACUCUCAACUCAGCAGUGGUUUCUUGAAAAGGUAGUCAUCGUAGGAAUAUUCAGUACCAAUCUUCUGUAGAAACAACAUUAUUAUGUGGAGACCUGAACCAGGAGUAUCUUAUUUUUUUCUAUAUGGAAACCUUUGAGAAUGAAGACACCGGAGGAAUAUAUCAAACCUUGCUGUGCCAAGGCCCCGUGGAACUCACAAGGGGGAAGAAAAGGAACAAAAGGCAUCUAUCCUUAUUUAAUGAUGUUUUGGUUGUGUCUAAUAACCUGAAUAAGAAAAGGUUUAAGAUAAACUGUAUCAUCCCACUGAAUUACCUGUGCGCAGUGGAUGAUAUGGACCUAGACAACAUGAAUGAAAUGUGUACUUGCAAGACCAUUUACCUGUUUUGGCCCACCGGAAAUUUUCUUGGCCAUCUUUUGUUCAAAAGAACAGAAAGAUAAAUGGUACUAUUUUCUCAAAAGAUCCAUUGAUGAAGCCAAGAAGGAUAUCAAGAAAAAUGUCUCAUUGCAGAUAUUCACGGAAGACAUCCCAAGCUGUGACAGUAUGUGGAGGAAAGAUUUCAUAAGAAACAAGGGACUGUAUUGACAUCUUGCUUCCACAGGGGCUCUGUGCCCCACCAGGACCAAGAAUGCCCUGCCCCAACAUUUAAUACAGGAAAACUCUUUGGCAAAGAUCUGGGUUCGAUUUGUCAUGAGGGAAAAUGGCCCACAAUAAUUGUGGACAUUCUAUCCCUCAUAGAAGAAAAAGGACCCAAGACUGAGGGCAUAUUCAUGAUAUCUCCAAAUGUGAAAUCAUGCAAAAUCCUAAAGGACAAAUUUGAAUCUGGGGAAGAGGUGGAUAUAAAAAAGUACUCAGUACAUGAAAUCGCCUGGAUCUUAAAGGUUUACAGUUUUGAUAGACAAAACAUGCUGGGCCUACAUAUCAGUCAACAUUCUACCUUUGGAAAAGUUUGGGAACUGUGAAGAAAGUUGGAACUAAACUUUAAAGCUGACUAUAUUUUAAGUAAUUUCCAUAAUUUAUUUUCUCUGCAAAAUAUUUUUUCUCUCUCUAUAAAGAGUUUCUUUGAACUCUCAAAGGAAGUCUGCUGACUUCUCAAUUAUAUGACCAGUGGAUUGCUGUACCUGAAAAGGUCAAUGAUAUGUAGAAAUUAGCAGCAGUGCAGAGUCUUACAGAAAAACUCCCAGGAUCCAAUGCUGCUCUUCUCCAACAACUUUUUCAAAUAUUACACAAAAUUGCAACAAAUUCUUCCAUUAACCAAAUGCCAUCGUACAUGGAUAGCACCAUGUAUCUUAUGUCUUCCUAGCUAUCAUAAUGAAGUACUGGCAAAUGAUAUUACCAAAAAAGCUAACAUUUUCUCAGAAUUCAGAACUACAUAUUUUUAGCCUCCAAACCACAUAAGUAAAAUGUGAUUGGCAACCAUGCAAAAUGACAGAGACCCUCUGUGUUUACUCCAUUUUGUUCCAGAUUUCUCUGGUAACUUUCAUGAUUGAAAACUCUCCCAAAAUUUUCGGAAUAGACAUGGUUUCAGUUUCGUAUGAAACGUCACUUUUUCAUCCACAAGGAGCAAAGGCCUCAUGUUCCCAAAAUACUCCACCUAACAUCGGGAACAUCCAGGAAACAGAAUAUGGACUCAGCAGCUGUUCCAAUGGGAGGACACGCAUGCCUGGUCAUGAUGCACUGGCGAUAAGUCCAGCUGCUUCUCUUUCCUAUGAGGGCAUUAUAGGUUCAUAUCUGCUCACCGUAACUGCUAUUUUCCUCAUCAUUCUUAAUGAUUUCAAUUUCGUAAACUGUGUGAAAUGACAGAGAAUCUUGUUUUUGCAUUGUGGUGUUACAGAUGUCUAUUAUACAAAUCAUGAUUGACAACUGUGGAGAUAUAUUUGGUGACAAUGACCAUAUAAUUUGUAAUGAUAAUCAGAAAAGGUCAGAUGACAUAAAGACUCCACUAAAAUUCUGCUGCAGGAGAUAAUGAAACUUCAACAUAUAAAUUUCCACAACAGAAACUUCCUCAUGACUAAAGAAGGUGUUGGUCAUUCUAUUUCAACGUUCCCUUCUACCUCCCACUUAACUAGAGCAGAAGUGAUUACUAAAAGAAACAACUUCAGUUUUAUAUUUAACCAUACUAUUUGUUACAAAUAGUUUCAGUCACUAUAUUUACUUUAUGUUGUGUAUUAAACAUUCUUAUCUAUUACAAUAAAUAUUCUUAAAUUAU